AAUAAAACCAAUAUUAAUGACAUGGCUGAGCAGGAAAAUCCAAACAGGCUGAGUGAGAAGAACAACAAUACAACGGAGGCAGGGUGGCAGCGUAGUUAUCUAACUGCAGGUGAGACUGGUGAUUAUUUAUGGAAAAAUGAUGGAAGGGUGCAUUGUUUCAUUGCACAAUCGUUUGGCUCUUUGUGCUCUAAGGAUAAGACAUAUAUUAAAAAGAGAGAUAAAAAAUCUUAAAGAGAACACUAGCGAAUAAGGCAUAUUGCUGAAAAUUGGGAGGAAACUCGGUGCUUGGUUCCCACGGAGAAGGAUCUGCAGUCCAGCUGUUACAUCAGUCGUCAUAGAAACCAGACACAGAACAAAGACUGUAACCAGAGAAGACCCUAAAGUGUGCUGUCGAAGUAUAUCUGAAGAAGCGAGAAGCACAAAAAAAGCAGGAGAGGCUGCCAAAAGGAAUGACGUACAACCGAGGCAAAUGGCACAAUGGCAGCUAGGCUGAGUUUCCAGUGAACGGCCAGUUACAGGCGAAAGCGGCACUGGAACAGGAGCUGCACAACAUCUAACAAAUACAGCAGGACCCUAAUAAAUAAAACACAAGACGGACUGACCCUGUUCUUGGGCUUCACGGUUUCUCACCGACCUUUUUCAGGUUCCAUCAGCCCCUAUAAUCUUAAGGUAAUAAAUAAUGCAUGCCGUGUUCUCAGAACGGGUCAGAACCAGGACUUGGCGGCCUGCACGUUAAGUCAUUAACACGAGGCCACAGGGUAACCACUGAGCAAGUCAGCAAAGUCCAAAAGA